rnacentral:rRNA from 1 species
CGGACGGGUGAGUAACACGUGAGCAACCUGCCUUUCAGUGGGGGACAACAGUUGGAAACGACUGCUAAUACCGCAUAACGUGCCGGAAGGGCAUCCUUUUGGUACCAAAGAUUUAUCGCUGAAAGAUGGGCUCGCGUCCGAUUAGAUAGUUGGUGAGGUAACGGCCCACCAAGUCGACGAUCAGUAGCCGGACUGAGAGGUUGAUCGGCCACAUUGGGACUGAGACACGGCCCAGACUCCUACGGAAGGCAGCAG